AAGCUCUCCUUUCAGCAGCAUAUAUGUUAAAAUUGGAAUAAUAUGGAGAAGAUUAAACUGAUUCUUGCACAAGGAUGACACGCAAAUUUGUGAAGCAUUCCAUAUUUUA
ensembl:snRNA U6 U6 spliceosomal RNA